CCUACGGGAGGCUGCAGUGGGGAAUAUUGCACAAUGGGCGCAAGCCUGAUGCAGCCAUGCCGCGUGUGUGAAGAAGGCCUUCGGGUUGUAGAGCACUUUCAGCGGGGAGGAAGGCGGUGAGGUUAAUAACCUCAUCGAUUGACGUUACCCGCAGAAGAAGCACCGGCUAACUCCGUGCCAGCAGCCGCGGUAAUACGGAGGGUGCAAGCGUUAAUCGGAAUUACUGGGCGUAAAGCGCACGCAGGCGGUCUGUCAAGUCGGAUGUGAAAUCCCCGGGCUCAACCUGGGAACUGCAUUCGAAACUGGCAGGCUAGAGUCUUGUAGAGGGGGGUAGAAUUCCAGGUGUAGCGGUGAAAUGCGUAGAGAUCUGGAGGAAUACCGGUGGCGAAGGCGGCCCCCUGGACAAAGACUGACGCUCAGGUGCGAAAGCGUGGGGAGCAAACAGGAUUAGAUACCCCUGUAGUC
rnacentral:rRNA from 1 species